GAUGAAGAACGAAGCGAAAUGCGAUAAGUAGUGUGAAUUGCAGAAUUCAGUGAAUCAUCGAAUCUUUGAACGCACAUUGCGCCCUUUGGUAUUCCUUAGGGCAUGCCUGUUCGAGCGUCAUUUAAACCUUCAAGCUCAGCUUGGUGUUGGGUGACUGUCCGCCGCCUCCGGGCGGUCGGACUCGCCUCAAAUUGAUUGGCGGCCGGUACUUUGGCUUCGAGCGCAGCAGAAACGCGAACUCGAGGCCGUCGUCCUGGCUCCCAGAAGCUAUCUUCACAAUUUUGACCUCGGAUCAGGUAGGGAUACCCGCUGAACUUAAGCAUAUCAAUAAGCGGAGGA
rnacentral:misc_RNA from 1 species